rnacentral:tRNA from 1 species
GUGGGUAUAGCUCAGUGGUAGAGCAUGUUUUUAGCAUGCCUGAGGUCCUGGGUUCAAUCCCCAGUACUUCCA